GAUCUACAGAAAGAGGGGGAUGGAGGACCCUUAUCAAUGAAAUCAUUCUCUCGCUCCACUUCUUUAACCAUGAACAAAUCAUCUGUACAACAUCAACAUCAACAACA
rnacentral:ribozyme from 1 species